AUACGGAGGAUGCGAGCGUUAUCCGGAUUUAUUGGGUUUAAAGGGUGCGUAGGCUGUGCGUUAAGUCAGGGGUGAAAUGCCGUCGCUCAACGACGGAGCUGCCCUUGAUACUGGCGUGCUGGAGUACGGAUGCCGUUGGAGGAAUGAGUGGUGUAGCGGUGAAAUGCUUAGAUAUCACUCAGAACACCGAUUGCGAAGGCAUCUGACGAAUCCGUCACUGACGCUGAGGCACGAAAGCGUGGGGAUAGAACAGGAUUAGAUACCCUGGUAUUCCACGCCGUAAACGAUGAUGACUAACCGUCGGCGAUAGACAGCCGGUGGCCAAGCGAAAGCGAUAAGUCAUCCACCUGGGGAGUACGUCGGCAACGAUGAAACUUAAAGGAAUUGGCGGGG
rnacentral:rRNA from 1 species